CCCUUAGAUGUUCUGGGCUGCACGCGCGCUACACUGAAGCGUUCAACGAGUAUUCACCUUGCCCGGGAGGGUUGGGUAAUCUUUUGAAAACGCUUCGUGAUGGGGAUAGAUUAUUGCAAUUAUUAAUCUUCAACGAGGAAUUCCUAGUAAGCGCGAGUCAUCAGCUCGUGCUGAUUACGUCCCUGCCCUUUGUACACACCGCCCGUCGCUCCCACCGAUUGAGUGAUCCGGUGAAUAAUUCGGACUGCAGCACUGCUUGGUCUCCAGGCUUUGCAGCGGAAAGUUUAGUGAACCUUAUCACUUAGAGGAAGGAGAANUCGUAACA
rnacentral:rRNA from 1 species